GCCUAGAAAUAUUAAAGAUUGAGAGUGAGUACGAGAAGCAUAGAUAAAUUUUAAAUGCAAUGCUGAUUCCAUGUAAAUAUCUUACUGGGAUAUCCGAUAAUAUGUGAAAAGCCCGCAAACUUCACAAUUUUGUGAUAGUAUUAGAUUUUGUAAAAUAAAUCUUCUGUUUCUUUUUUUACAAAAAAAGAAAUUGAGAGAGAUG
rnacentral:lncRNA from 1 species